rnacentral:rRNA from 1 species
UACGUAGGUGGCAAGCGUUAUCCGGAAUUAUUGGGCGUAAAGAGCGCGCAGGUGGUUAAUUAAGUCUGAUGUGAAAGCCCACGGCUUAACCGUGGAGGGUCAUUGGAAACUGGUUGACUUGAGUGCAGAAGAGGGAAGUGGAAUUCCAUGUGUAGCGGUGAAACGCGUAGAGAUAUGGAGGAACACCAGUGGCGAAGGCGGCUUCCUGGUCUGCAACUGACGCUGAGGCUCGAAAGCGUGGGGAGCAAACAGG